UACGUAGGGGGCGAGCGUUGUCCGGAUUUAUUGGGCGUAAAGAGCGUGUAGGCGGCCACGCAGGUCCGUUGUGAAAACUGGAGGCUCAACCUUCAGACGUCGACGGAAACCGUCUGGCUAGAGUCCGGAAGAGGAGAGUGGAAUUCCUGGUGUAGCGGUGAAAUGCGCAGAUAUCAGGAAGAACACCUAUGGCGAAGGCAGCUCUCUGGGACGGUACUGACGCUGAGACGCGAAAGCGUGGGGAGCGAACAGG
rnacentral:rRNA from 1 species